rnacentral:rRNA from 1 species
CCUACGGGUGGCAGCAGUGGGGAAUAUUGCACAAUGGGGGAAACCCUGAUGCAGCGACGCCGCGUGAGUGAAGAAGUAUUUCGGUAUGUAAAGCUCUAUCAGCAGGGAAGAAAUUGACGGUACCUGAUUAAGAAGCCCCGGAUAACUACGUGCAAGCAGCCGCGGUACUACGUAGGGGGCAAGCGUUAUACGGAUUUACUGGGUGUAAAGGGGGCGUAGACGGCAGCACAAGUUUGGCGUGAAAUUCCGGGGCUUAACCCCGGAACUGCUUUGGAAACUGUGGCGCGAGAGUGCAGGAGAGGUAAGUGGAAUGCGGAGUGUAGCGGUGAAAUGCGUAGAUAUUAGGAGGAACACCAGUGGCGAAGGCGGCAUACUGGACUGUAACUGACGUUGAGGCUCGAAAGCGUGGGGAGCAAACAGGAUUAGAUACCCCGGUAGUC